rnacentral:rRNA from 1 species
UUCAUCGCUCGCGAUGUUUAACUGACAUGAUUGUGGGACGUCCUACCGGUGGACUUAGCAUCUUUCGAGGUGCGGUCCAGCUAAUAUCCCAUCGCGGUGCUCUUCAUCGAGUGUCGAGGUGGGCCGGUACGUUUACUUUGAACAAAUUAGAGUGCUCAAAGCAGGCUAUGUUCGCCUGAAUACUGUGUGCAUGGAAUAAUGGAAUAGGACCUCGGUUCUAUUUUGU